GACGAACGCUGGCGGCGUGCCUAAUACAUGCAAGUAGAACGCACAGUUUAUACCGUAGCUUGCUACACCAUAAACUGUGAGUUGCGAACGGGUGGGUAACGCGUAGGUAACCUGCCUGGUAGCGGGGGAUAACUAUUGGAAACGAUAGCUAAUACCGCAUAAUAUUGAUUAUUGCAUGAUAAUUGAUUGAAAGAUGCUAUUGCAUCACUACCAGAUGGACCUGCGUUGUAUUAGCUAGUAGGUGAGGUAGCGGCUCACCUAGGCGACGAUACAUAGCCGACCUGAGAGGGUGAUCGGCCACACUGGGACUGAGACACGGCCCAGACUCCUACGGGAGGCAGCAGUAGGGAAUCUUCGGCAAUGGACGAAAGUCUGACCGAGCAACGCCGCGUGAGUGAAGAAGGUUUUCGGAUCGUAAAGCUCUGUUGUAAGAGAAGAACGGGUGUGAGAGUGGAAAGUUCACACUGUGACGGUAUCUGACCAGAAAGGGACGGCUAACUACGUG
rnacentral:rRNA from 1 species